AGUGAACGCUGGCGGUAGGCCUAACACAUGCAAGUCGAACGGCAGCACAGUAAGAGCUUGCUCUUACGGGUGGCGAGUGGCGGACGGGUGAGGAAUACAUCGGAAUCUACUUUUUCGCGGGGGAUAACGUAGGGAAACUUACGCUAAUACCGCAUACGACCUACGGGUGAAAGCAGGGGAUCUUCGGACCUUGCGCGAUUGAAUGAGCCGAUGUCGGAUUAGCUAGUUGGCGGGGUAAAGGCCCACCAAGGCGACGAUCCGUAGCUGGUCUGAGAGGAUGAUCAGCCACACUGAGACUGAGAGACGGUCCAGACUCCUACGGGAGGCAGCAGUGGGGAAUAUUGGACGAUGGGCGCAAGCCUGAUCCAGCCAUACCGGGUGGGUGAAGAAGGCCUUCGGGUGGUAAAGCCCUUUUGUUGGGAAAGAAAAGCAGCAGGUUAAUACCCCGCUGUUCUGACGGUACCCGAAGAAUAAGCACCGGCUAACUUCGUG
rnacentral:rRNA from 1 species